UUUAGGGAGACCUCCCACUCUGUGUUCAAAGCAAAGUGCAAAUAGACAUAAGAGUUGGUCAACCAGGUCGAGCGAGAUUGGAUUGCUGGCUUUCAAACUAUUUCCAGGUUUUAUUUCCUCAAGGUGAGCAGAACCGACCGGAUGAAUUCGGUUAACGCCAUCACCAGGGACGAUCGAUUUCGCUAAAGUAAGAGAAGUGGAUGUUGAGUCAGUUGAGACAAAGCCCUCAACGGAACGAAUCAAAGAACGAUCGGCAUUCUACAGAAAACAAUACGGUUGUCACUGCUACAAACAGAAUUAGACACGUUAAAGUAGUAAGAGUGAGUCAUGAGUUAGCCAGCUCCAGCGAGUGGACUGAUACUAACAAAACAAGUUUUUGAGACACUUUAACUCCAUUGGAUAUCAUUUCAGCAACUGAUCUAGAGCCGCAAUUGGACUAGAGAGACUGCUGGACUUCGUAUCCAGCCAAGAACCUUGAAAAUUGCAUAGUAAUAACUUGUCAGGUAGAAACAGUGGACAAGCUUUUGUAAACCGGAUCGUGAAUACUUUCAUGAACUGUUGUACACAAAGCAUGACCCACUGAAUCACAGACACCAAUGUCAAAGU
rnacentral:misc_RNA from 1 species